CAAUCCCAUCAGCAACCAGACUCAACAUCUGGACAUCACUCACCUCUGUCACACAUGUGCAGACUCUGUCCACUGCUGUGGUUCAACUGAAGCUGUGAUCCGAUUGGUCCUCUCUGCUCUGGUGGGCGUGGCUACUGUCAUCCUUCUGGUUUAUGACAUCAGAUCCAGAAGAGCUGAACGAGAUCAAGCACAUAUUCACACAUCAGGAAGUAUUGAAAUCUAAAGCAGAACGCUGAACUUUAAAGAUUCUUCAAGUGUUGUUCAAGAGCUGGGACAGUAAAUCGAUGCAUCACAAUUUUGUGGAUCAAUUCUGAGGUACAUCGCGAUUCUCUCUUGAAUCAAUUCUGAGCUUAAUUUUUACUCUUUGAUGCACAAGCUAUGCAAACCUCUUCUAAUGCAUAACAUGGGUCUAAAAUGACCCGUAUUCAUUCCCUUUGUUAUUUCAAUCAAGGCUGAGUGUUUUUUGCUGAAUCUUUGAAAGAAAUGUAUUUUAUCAUUUGUUUAUUCCAGGUAUUCAUUAAAUAUCUUGUUUUAGAU